rnacentral:rRNA from 1 species
UACGUAGGGGGCGAGCGUUAUUCGGAAUUACUGGGCGUAAAGCGUGCGCAGGCGGCGCGUUAAGACAGGUGUGAAAGCCCCGAGCUUAACUUGGGAAUUGCGCUUGUGACUGGCGUGCUGGAGUGUGGCAGAGGGAGGUGGAAUUCCACGUGUAGCAGUGAAAUGCGUAGAGAUGCGGAGGAACACCGAUGGCGAAGGCAGCCCCCUGGGCUAAGACUGACGCUGAGGCACGAAAGCGUGGGGAGCAAACAGG